CCAGCUCCUAUAUCAGGAGGGCCAAAGAUCACGCCAUCACCCCGUCUGGUCUCCUCCGCAUAGAGAGCUCCCAUGCCAGCUCUUCCGGAUCAACCUCCCAGCGUCCGCCCACACCGUCCGCAUCUCCAGUGGUCCCGCGGCGGCCUCCAAGCGAUUUCCAGCUUCCUCCCGUCAAUCCCGCGGCGGCCUCCAACGUUCCCGUGAUCCAGCCUCCCAAGAUCGCUCCUCCUCUGCCCCAUCUGCGUUGCUGCCAGCGCACCCCAACCGCACCGCGCCCAGCUUCAUUCCGUGCGAUCACGGGAGACCCCAGUUCAUCCCACGAUCGCUCCUCCUCCGCCUCUGCACCCACGGAUCAACGUUCCCGAAAUCCCAGCCUUCAACGCCGCGUCCGAGCUCCAUGGAUCAUCGACUCCCUCCGUCCGCCUCAUCCGCGUCUGCAAGCAUCCCGUGAUCGGCUCCUCACCACGUCCAUCUCCUUCCAUUUCCGCAUCCAACCUUCAACAUCUCCAAGCUGUGAUCCCUUCCUCCCAUCGAUCCCACUUGCGCUCUUCAUCCGGAUCCAGCCGUUUCCCCCACGGAUCAUGUGCGAUCCCCGCACCCCAUGUACCUCGCGGCCAGCCGGGAUGAGCAUCCCGGACGAUCCUCUCCACGAAAUCAUGGGAUCUAUCACCGGGUGGGGGCGAUCUAUAAGAAGAGGGGAGGAAGAGCAAGGAGGGAGCUCGGCUGGGUGGUGGCUGGCGGGUUCGAGAAGAAGAAACAGAGCAAUGCUCUGUUCUUGGAAAGAAGAAAAAAAGAGAAGAGUAGUUUAUGUUCCAUCGUGGGAGAGAAAAGGAAUUUUCUUAUUUUUAUUUUAUUUUUUUUAUUUGCAGAAUAAAGAAGCAUCAGGCUUCAUGUCCAAUCUUCCUUUUUACUUUUUGUAAUUAGUUUUCUUUUCAUGAAGUCAAGCAAUUUCCUUUCGUGCAAUCCUUGUUCUAGGUUCCGUUUAAUUUCUGUUUUUUAUGCAAUA
rnacentral:lncRNA from 1 species